GGUUGUGUAGCUCAAUUGGAAAGAGUGCCACUUCAAACUCGCUCAGCCAUGCUGUAGCACUAUCAUUAUCAGUGGUGGGUGGGAGUUCGAGUCUCUCCAUGACCU